GAUGAACGCUAGCGGCAGGCCUAACACAUGCAAGUCGAGGGGUAGCAGGAUUAAGCUUGCUUAAUUGCUGACGACCGGCGCACGGGUGCGUAACGCGUAUGCAACCUACCUUAUACUGGGGUAUAGCCCGGAGAAAUUCGGAUUAAUCCCCCAUAGUACUAAUGAAUCGCAUGGUUUAUUAGUUAAAGCACUGCGGUAUAAGAUGGGCAUGCGUCCUAUUAGCUAGAUGGUGAGGUAACGGCUCACCAUGGCUACGAUAGGUAGGGGGCCUGAGAGGGUGGUCCCCCACACUGGUACUGAGACACGGACCAGACUCCUACGGGAGGCAGCAGUGAGGAAUAUUGGUCAAUGGGCGCAAGCCUGAACUAGCCAUGCCGCGUGCAGGAAGAAUGCCCUAUGGGUUGUAAACUGCUUUUAUUUGGGAAUAAACCUCUUUACGUGUAGAGAGCUGAAGGUACCAAAUGAAUAAGCACCGGCUAACUCCGUGCCAGCCGCCGCAGUAA
rnacentral:rRNA from 1 species